UACGUAGGGGGCAAGCGUUGUCCGGAAUCAUUGGGCGUAAAGCGCGUGUAGGCGGCCCGGUAAGUCCGCUGUGAAAGUCCAGGGCUCAACCCUGGAAUGCCGGUGGAUACUGUCGGGCUCGAGUCCGGAAGAGGCGAGUGGAAUUCCUGGUGUAGCGGUGAAAUGCGCAGAUAUCAGGAGGACACCGAUGGCGAAGGCAGACUCGCUGGACGGUACUGACGCUGAGACGCGAAAGCGUGGGGAGCAA
rnacentral:rRNA from 1 species